CUUAUUACACGCAAAGGUAAUAAGCAAAUUAGAUAAAGGGAAACUUUAUUUAGUUUGUAUCGGGAGGAAAUGCACGAUACA
rnacentral:ncRNA from 2 species